UACGUAGGGUGCGAGCGUUGUCCGGAAUUAUUGGGCGUAAAGAGCUCGUAGGCGGUUUGUCGCGUCGACUGUGAAAACCUACAGCUUAACUGUGGGCUUGCAGUCGAUACGGGCAGACUUGAGUUCGGUAGGGGAGACUGGAAUUCCUGGUGUAGCGGUGAAAUGCGCAGAUAUCAGGAGGAACACCAGUGGCGAAGGCGGCGAUCUGGGAAGAUACUGACGCUGAGGUGCGAAAGCGUGGGGAGCAAACAGG
rnacentral:rRNA from 1 species